CAGUUGCCGCAGGAGGUUUUUAUUUAAUGCAAUUAUGUUUAGUUGAGAUACUGAAUUGUUGUUUUUCUUUGUGGAUUGGAGUGAUGAGCUAUUUCUGGAUCUUUCCAUGGAAAUCGUCUUAGUUUUAUUUUCGAGGAGAUGCAAUGAACAAUCCAGUUCUCUUCCUGUUGUAGGUUGGAGUCCUUUUGUUGCAAAUCAUGCUGAAUUUGACCUGGUUUGUGUUGUAGUAUAUAUUUUACUAACUUUUAGGGGAAUGAUUUGACUUAGCAAGCUCUUGCUUUUUGUUUCUCCUUGGGGUUUUUGGUAUAAAUUGUUUAUUUCGGGUGCCAAUUCGAGUCUCUUUCUUUGAUGAAGUCUUGCUCUCUAUUUUCACCUGCGAACUUUACUGGAUAAAACUACAAUUACUACAAUUAAGUCUUGUGUCCAAGGCCAAGUCUAGUUGUUGCUUAGUUUGGUCAUUUGGGGCUUUUACUUUUUGCUUAUUGUGGGUAGUUUUGGUGUAAAUGGUUAAUUUUGGGAGCCAGUUCAAAGUCUCUUUCUUCGAUGAUAUCGUCCUCUAAUCUUUUUCUGUGAACUUCACUAGAUAAAACUACAAUUGUGUCCUGUUUCAAGGCUAAGUCUAGUUGUUGCUUUCCUUGUUAACUUGGUGGCACACAUUGAUGGCAGUCUGACUUAUAGGAUGCUUCUACCUUGUGAGAUGGAAAUUGAUUGCAGAUAUUCACUAACAUCAUGGCACAUUGUUCGUUUCUACGUUGAAUUGGCUUGGUGCAGUCCGUAGAAGUGCUCUUGUUGGGAUUCUCUUUAUUUUGAAAGUUCCAGUUGAUAUAAAUUUGCCUGACAAAUUAGUUUUAUAUUGCUUGUGUGUUGAAAAGUUACUGGGUCAUGAGCUUGCACGAUCCCUCUACAUCAAUGUGUGACUUGGUGGCAAGUCACACAUUGAUGGCAGUUUGACUUAUUGGAUGCUUCUACCUUGUGAGAUGGAAAUUGAUUGCAGAUAUUCACUUAUAUCAUGGCAAAUUGUCCGUUUCUACGUUGAAUUGGCUUGGUGCAGUCCGUAGAAGUGCUCUUGUUGGGAUUCUCUUUAUAUUGAAGUUCCAGUUGAUUAAAUUUGCUUGACAAAUUAGUUUUAUAUUGCUUGUGUGUUGAAAAGUUACUGGGUCAUGAGCUCGCACAAUCCCUCUACAUGGAUUCACCCCUGAUUUUCUCCGAAACUCUUAUUCUGUUAUCUUCCUUUUCUGAGAAAGCUGGCUCUAGGUUGUGCCUUCAAAAUUAUAUCUGCAAGGAUGGUUGUGAGUAAGCGUGGAGUGGAUGAAUCGGAUGUUUUGGCCAACUUUUAUAAGCUCGCUCUUUGAAUGAGAUGGUGCACUGGAUGUGUUGCUUUAGGUAGGGUUCAUGUGUUGUAUGAGCUUUACCUGAUGUUGAACUUGAGAAGAAAAACUAAUUGGUUUGAAGACCUCACAAAGAAAUUGAGCCUACCUGAAAGGAGAAGGAAGGCUGUGAUCUCUGUAUAAAAUUUUACUUUUGUAAGCAUCUAGCGUUAGCGAGUACAUAAGCUAGUGUAAUACCUGAUGGAGCUUGUAUAAUUCUGCUUGUAUUUUUGGACUUUUCAACAUAUGUGUCUAUUGUCAGUUGCUCACUUUGUCGAGCAAAUUGUGCAGCUUUGUAUCAUAGCACAAGUUGUGGUUGGCGAAAAAUCAAGCAUGAGUUGCGCAGAUAGCACUUGUUAUCAUUUUGUUCAUGUGUUGUAUGAGCUAUACCUGAUGUUGAACUUGAGAAGAAAAACUAAUUGAUUUGAAAACCUUGCAAAGAAAUUAAGCCUUUCUGCAGGAUAUAUCGUAUAGGCCCUGAAAAGAGAAGGAAGGCCGUGAUCUCUGGAUAAAAUUUUACUUACAAAUUCUUAGGAUUUUCCGAAUUAAAGGCUGGGAUUUUCUUGUGAGUGGUGUUGGAUUUUCAUUUGUGGCAUCUAAUUGUGGGUGUUCUCAGUCAAGUUUCCUAAUCGGAGAUAUUAAGUGUCUUGCUAACUAGUAAUUAUGGGCAUUAUGGAAUUGGCAUCUCUUCUUGUCUCUUUUAAUAAUUUGCUUUUACGAAGUGCACUUUUGCAAGUAAACGUCUCUUCACUUUAUCCCAUAUGGAUGUUUCGUGGAGGCAAUUGGAGCCUUGUAACACUCUGUGGCAGCAGGAUGUUUCCUGGCAGACUUGAGGUGUUGUCAUUCCUUUUACCCUGCAUCUUCAUUGCUCCUUCCAGUGCCGUAAUAUGUUCUUAAUCUGGUCAAAGUGUUGGGGAUGGUUUUAUUAGCAGAAGAAACAAAACUGAUUUCAUUCUGUCGAUGCCAAUGCUCCUGUUGCUUGAACAUCUGUACGUGUUCUCAAUUUCAGCUGGUUGAUCUUUGAAGUUGGGAUAGUGUAUAAAAUUGGUGCUCAAUGAUAAAGCCACAGCAAAGCUCUGUUCCACUUGCCUUCUACAGAACAUGAAUUUAAUCUGUUGAGAAGAGAUCCAAUUGUUAGCUUAGAGUCGCUGCUUAUAUAUAAUUCGAUAUGAUUCUUAGUUACUAAGCUCUCCAGUUGAAAAUUUAAUUAUUGCACACAUAAUUAUUCUCAGUUUAUGAUUUGCUUCUCAUACUAUAUUCAGAAAUAGAAAGGAAUUUGAUUAUUUCUUUAUAUAAUGUAAAAGAUUAGAUGAUUCUGCUUGUGAGUAAAACCAAGUUGUCUUAUUGAUAUACUGUCCAACUCUAGCAUUUUCUUUGCCACAUAAAUCAAUAAGGAGGAUCCUUGUGCUUCCACUAAGAGACAGAAAUCCUCAUAUAGAUCUAUUUUUUUGCCAGAUUAAAUGUAACUGCUUUUUUCACCUUGGAAUUUCUGCCAAGUUAAUGAAGAGGAACACCUCUGCAAGCAUUUUGUGUAUGGAUUGAUCUUCCUUCAACUUUUCCCUUAAGUUAGUAGUUUCGUAUCAUGGAUUUGUUAGGUGUGGCUGGCGUAUUGUUAUAAGCAUGAGUACCUCAGCAAAUUUGGCCAAAUGGGCACUGGGUAUUUUUUCCAUUACCAAGUCCUUUUAUCUGAUUUCCAUGUUUUGUUUUGCCAGUUAAAUCUUUUGGUAUGUUUUUCAGUUAAGAUAACGGAUUAUGCUUAUAUUCAACAAUAGGGACCUGCUUUUAUGUUAGAGAACUUUGCUCUCACUUCUUAUAUUCACUGAUCCUUCCUACUGCUUUCUGUUAUAAUUUUACAUACCGUUUAUUCAGCCAUUUUCAUUAUCAAGAACUUUUUGCUCCAAUGAAGAUUGGAUUUGUUGUCAUUUCUCUCUUGCAGAAGCCAUCUUUGAUUUCUCCUAACAAGAGAAUAGGUUAUUUAUCUAUGGAAAAUAGUUUCCUUCCCAUGAUACUGAUAAUACAAUGUCGCACUGCAGUUCCUUCACUUAAACUGAUGCUAAAGACCUAGGUUGACAUAUGAAGCUUGUUCCAGGACCCAAGGACUGGGUCAAAUGUCUUCAGUAAAAAUAAUAUCCAUGUUUUAAAUCAAGAUUCUUUUAUCAUCUACAGAUGUCACUUUUGGUAUGUUAUCACACCUCAUUGGCAUUUUCUCUUGUUUGUCAGAAUGUGGACCCUGCAAUGUGCUCCACCGGUAUCACACUUGAAAUUCUUAUCUGGAUGGCUGUUCGCUCUGCAAGUUAGGUGGCUACCUUGUUGGAUGAAUUUGAAGAGAAUUGGACCACGUCCUAUAUCUCAUAAGCGUUUAGUAUUGUUCAAUUAGGCCUGUUGAUAUGCACGUUUUGUGCUCUUUUCUGCUGGUACAGUUUCUUCACUGGGAACAUUAAACUAGCAAUUGGACAGGCCUUGAGGACACACAUUAGUGACUGCUCUUCUUCGUGCUUCAAUUUUUUAUUAUUUAUUAUUCUUUAUUUUAUUUCUUCUUCAAAAAUUGGAUUGAUCCAUACAGAAAUUUUUCAGGGGUAGAACCGACUUUAGCAUCAACUGAUCGGAAUUUUUCUGUUGUAUCCCUUUCACAUUGGAUGGACCAGCAGAAAUCCCUGUUGCGGAGAUUCUUGAGGGUUUCUAUUGGCCUACAAUGCCUACGGUUAUCGGAAUUUUUGGUUUACGCCUUGUCCUUUGAUUGCUUAGUGAUUCAUCAACUGAUCGAUUGAUCUUUGCAUUAGUGUUUUGCCAGCUUAUUCUGGAUUUUGUUAUUUGGUGAAUUGGCAGUGGCUUAUUUCCUCUUGGAUCAUAUCUCUUGAUGUCUGAGGAUGUUGUUGUGGGUGUUCAGUUUAGCUCCUCCUACGAUUGUUAAUUGAUACAUCCACUGGUUGAUCUUUUCAUUGAAUUGCCUAUGAGUAGCUUUUGGAUUAGUUAUUUGCUGAAUUCGCAGUGGCUUCUUCCCCCUUGGAGCGAAUCCGUUUGUCUGAGGAUGUCAAGGACGAUGGAUAGGACGAUCUGGUCAGUUUGUUUUAAAGAACUAGGUUGAAGUCUUGCCAGACUUGACAAGGGGUUCUCUGCUGCAAGCUGAUGAUUGUCUGAAAGUGGAUAAGCUCUGUUGUCUCUCGAGGCAGUUAUUGGUUUGCAUGAAAUUUGUUCUCCAGUCCCAUAAUUUUCUAAUUGAUGCAAAAACCAAUUCUCAUUCCUUUGUAGGGGUGGAGUUUGGCUGAUGUGUGAUCUGUGAUGGUUCUUUCUUUGCAAGGUGUACAUGCCACAACAGAUCACUAUCCAAUCCAGAUCCACUUGCCCGUGUCUCCUUCCUGGAAAUAGCCCUCCCUUGUGUCCUCAUCCUUUAGUCUCUUCUUGCAUCUAUGAUUCUGCAUGCGUUCCUUUCUCAGUUGACAGCCUCUUCUUCCUUUCUUUUUGUUUCUUGAUUAAUUGUUAAAUCGGUCUGAUUUGUAUGCUAAUUUUCCAAAGGUUACUCUCGCCUCUCUGGGACUUUGCCAUGUUAUGAGUAUCGUUAGGGUUUGCGCUCCUCUGAUAGGUGAUUGACACGUCAUUGAUUGAUCUUUCUGUUUAAUUGUAUUAUGACCUGAUUCUGGUUUUCACUAUUCUGUGAAUUGGCAGUGGCUUCUUUCUUCUUGGAGUAAUCAUGUUUGUCUUAGGACCAUGAGCACAAUGCUACUGGUCAGUUGGUUACAUAGACAAGACAUUUGGGCUUUCUGGAGGACCAAUGGCCUAAUCUUGCACUGUUUAGUCGAGCUGAUGAUGUGGUAGUCUUUGUUUUUAGGACAAGCGAUGGACUGAAAUUUUGACAACCUUCUAGGCUUCUUUUACAGGUUGAAAGUUUUACCGGAUUUGACGGCUGGUGAUCUGGUGCGUUCUAUGUGGGGCUGAGUUGAUAAUUAUUUGAUAUUGGAUGAGUUACUGCUUCUUGGAUUUUAUGCAGUUAUUGGUUUGAAAUGGAACCCGUCCUUCACUUCUGCUAUUUUCUAGUUAAACGCAAAGAUCAGAUCUAGUUCUCUUCCUUCCGCAGAUCAGAGUUUGGUCAAGGCAAUACUUUACGUGGCCAAGUUCUAUAUGGAGUCUCUGUGAUCAGUGAUGUUCUUCCUUGCUGCAUAAGCAUCAAUUCCUAAUUUUUCUUCCACUUCCGUCAUCUUCUAGUUAAGGUGGAACGAUCAGAUGUUCUCUUUCCUUUGCAGGUCAAAGUUUGGUCAGGGCAAUAGUUUACCUUGUCAAGUUCAAUAUGGAGUGUCUUGGAUCAGUAAUGGUUCUUUCUUGUUGCAUAAGCAUCAAUUCAUGGGACAAGCUGUUCUUUCAGAGUUCUUUCUUGUCUGGAAAAGUACAUGCAAGUGAAGCUUGUUUCCCUUCACUUUUCCGUGUGCUGCGAUCACUAAUUGGAUCUUUGGUAAAUCAUGGAGAGAGCACGUCAUGCUCUUCUUCCCUAUCAUGGAACUGGCUCCAGAAUUACCUACUUAGCUUCACCUUAUUUUUAUUCGACUUCUGCAUUUUCUUUUGGUUUAGAACAAGAGGUCAUUAUGUGCUUUUUAUGUGAGAGAGGCUGUUUGAGUUGAUUGGACUCUGUCAAUGGCCACUGGUUAUUGGGACUGUUAUGUGCUUUUAACUGGUAUCUUUUUAUUUGGAAUGACAUACUUAAGAUAUCUAUUACGAUUCGCAUUCUUAAUCUUUGGUAUUCUCUUUCUAUAGGUCAAUGGUUGCUGAGCCGAUUACUUUCUUGGUCUAAUUUCUGAAGUUUCUGGCUUGUUGCAGAAGCUUAAUUUCUUCUGGUCCCGUUGCCUCUUUGGGACUUUGCCAUGGUCAUGGACAUCAUUGGGGUUUACUCUCCUCCUUUAACCAUCUAUUAAUUGGUUGAUUGGUCAGUCUAUUUAGUUGUUCUAUGAGCAGAUUCUGGAUCUGUUAUUUAGUGGAUUGGAAGUAGCUUCUUCUCUGAUGGACCGAUCUCUACCUCUGAGGAUGUCAUGUAAGGAACAGUAAAUAUGAUUAGUUUGGUAAAUAGUUGCGUAGAAUAAAGCAUUCGAGCUUUUCUUGGGAUUGACGAUUCCUUGGCAGUAUAAUGUUGGGUUGGUGGAACUAGGAGUACUAGGUGUUGAACUGAAACUUCUAAUAAUUUCCUGCAUGGACACUAAUUUUUCUUUUUAAGAACUCAUUCUUUCAUUAAUUGUCUUUGGUCAGUAGCAAGAAUCAAGAUGAUAAUCGUCUAUUCCUAAUUGCUUUAGGUUGAAGAUUCACUUAAUUUGAGAAGUGCUGACCUUUGCCUGUUUUGCAAGGCUAAGAGGAUGAAUUGUGGCGACCAGGUUUUGUUUGAAAUAGGAUAAGCUCUUAUUUAUUGGAUUUUAGACAGUAUAUAGUUCCAAUAGUGUUGACUCUAGCUUUGUUUCUUAAUUUGUUUUAUUAAAGCAAGAGGAUCACCAUUAAGUUCUCUCUCUGUUAUGGUCAGAAAAUGGUUAAAGCAAAGACCUUUUCCUUAAUAGAACAAUUCUGCAUGUUAUUUAUCGCUGACUUUUUACUUUUCAACAUAGUUUUUUUUUUGGUGAAAAGUAAUAAUAUAUUGAGCUUUAACCAACAAUUUACACAAGAUCCAGCACCACAAAACUUGCAUUUAACAAGACAACAACUUAGUUUGUUACACAUUGACUCGGAAAUACGUUUCUUGCAUAUGCUUUUGUUUUGACUUGGUGUGUAUGUCUACUUGAAGUUAGCGUCUAUGUUAAAUUGGUUUAUUUGAAGAAUUUUCUGUCAGGUUUACUGUGUCUAUAUUAGAUAGAUUGUUGUCGUCUAGAUGGUAAUUUCUUAUGCUGAGUUAUUAUUUUGGUGUUACCUGUUGCUCUUUUUCUCUAUGUUAUUUGGAACUUGCAAGAUAAGGCUCUUCUCCAAAAUUUUUUUGUUUUUCACACUUUUUUUUUUUUUUUGUGGUAACAUUUUCCUUUUGCCAAAACUUUACCGAAUGUUAGAUUAUGUAGUGUUUUCACUUGUAAAGUGAUGAUGUGGAUGGUUCAUCAAUAGAUUUAUCUUUCCAUUAAAUUGUUUAACAAGAUGAUUCUGGAUUUCGUGGUGGAUUGGCAGUCGCAUCUUUCCUCUUGGAGUGUGAUCUCUUCAAUGGAGCAUAUCGUCUAAUGAUGAUGAAUGCAUAGAAGCUGGUUGGUUUGCAUAAUAUAAGGCGUUUGGGCUUCAUGGAGGAGUGGUGAUCUAUUAUGCAGUCUGCGUUUGAGUUCUGAAGUAUCUUUGUUCACAUCAUCAGCACAGGCAAUGGACUGAAACUUUGAAGCUUUGUUGGCUUUUUGUAGUUUUGAAUUAAGUUUGUCUUCAGUUGAUUAUAUUCAGGGAGCAGUGAGAUAAUUAUUGUCAAGUUCUAAUUCGUCUAAAGUUUUAAGAUUUGUUGGGUUUGAGAAGUGGUGAUCUAUUGCUUUCUUCUGUGGGGCUGAGUUGAUGAUUGUUUGAAAUUUGGACAAGUGGUGGCUUCGUGGAUUUCUGACACUACUGAAAUAUUGAAGAUUUGUAGGUUUUUUGCAUUUUUGAUUUAAGUUUGCCUUUAGUUGAUUAUCUUCAGGGGGCAGUGAGAUAAUUAUCGUCAAGUCCUAAUUCUUUACAGGUUGAAGUUUUGCCAGGUUUGUGAGAAGUGAUGAUCUAAUGCGUUCUUCUGUGGGGCUGAGUUGAUGAUUGUCUAAAAUUGGACAAGCAGUCGCUUAGUGGAUUCUAGGUAGUCAUCGAUUCGAAUUAAGUUUGUUCUCCCCUUCUGCUUUUUUCUGGGUUAUGGUGAGAUGAUUAGGGCCUAUUCCCUUUGAUGCAAAUCUCUUCUGGUUCAAUGUGGACUUUCUUCAAUCUGUGAUGGUUCUUUCUAGCUCCAUAAUUUUUAUUUCAUUUAACAAGAUCUUCUUUCUUUAGAGACUCUAUUGGGGAAGAUGAAUAAUCAUUGACUAUCCUCGAUUUUAGGGAUCAUUUGUGAGUCUGCAAAGCUUGAGGUCCACUAAGUUCUGGCCUGUUUCUUUUCAUUCUUGUAAUACAUGCUGGUAAAUCAUGCAGAUAUUGCAUGUUAUUCACACAAUACCCAGGUUCUAUACGAUUGAUGUGUUUUCUUUUGGUACAAAACCUUUUGGUGGAACUUUUUCAUUUAUCAGGUGAUUUCUACACUUUAGAUUGUUGUUGAGGAGUUGUCAUGGACAUUAUUAGUGUUUAUGCUCCUCCUUGGAUCUGAUUGAUGGAUUGAUCCAUCCUUCUGUUGUUCUACAAGCUGUUUCUAGAUUUUUAUAAACCAGUGGAGUAGUAGUAGCUUUUUUUCUCAUGGAGCAAUCUCUUUGAUUGAGGAUGUUGUCUAAGGAGUGGUACAUAUGAUGAGGUUGGAUUAUUACUCAGAAUAGCUGAGCUUUUCUUGAAGUCAACAAUCUCUUCAUAUCUAUCUUUGGUUGGGUUGGUGGAUGGGCAUUGUCCUUGAUCAUUUUCAGGACUGGGUGAAGAACUGAAAUUUCGAUAAACUCCUGCUGCAUAGGCACUUGAUGUUUUGCCAGAUUUUAGAAGUGAUGAUCUAUCGCCUUUUCUGCGGUGCCUGAGUUGAUGAACAUCAGUGUCUGGGCUUUGUUGGAAAUUGGAUAAGCUCCCACUUCUUGGUUUUUGGUUCUUUUCGUGUCCUCAUUCUCAAUGGGUAUUUAUAUGGAUCAGUCCCCCAAUCUAUUGAUAUUUUGGCCAUGGUUUAAUGAUAGGGUGUGUGAGAACUAGUGAGGUUUGAUGUCCGCACUCUUUCCUUUGAUGCACACCUCUUCUGGUUCAAUGUGGACUGUCUUCAAUCUGUGAUGGUUCUUUUUAACUCCAUUAUCUUUAUUUCAUUUAACAAGAUAUUCUUUCAUUUAAGAUUCUAUUGGCUUUUCUUGUAUUUGGAAUAUGAAUAAUCGUUGACUAUCCUCCAUUGUAGGGAUUGUUAGUGAGUCUAGAAAGCUUGAGGUCCACUAAGUUCUGGCUUGUUUCAUCUCUUCAUUCUUUUAAUGCAUGCUGCAAUCCCAAAAUUGAUUGCUGGUAAAUCAUGAAGAUACUGCAUGUAUCUGGUGGACUUUUUCAUUAAUCAGGUGAUUCCUAUGCUUUAGGUGGUUGUUGAGGAGUUGUCAUGGACAUUGUUAGUGUUUAUGCUCCUCCUUUGAUUUGAUUGAUGGUUUGAUCCAUCCUUCUGUUGUUUAACGAGCUGUUCCUGGAUUUUUAUAAUCCAGUGGAUUGGUAGUAGUUUUUUUUUUUCACGAAGUGAUCUCUUUGAUUAUUUUGUCAAAGGAAUGGUACAUAUUAUGAGGUUGGUUGAUUAUUACUUAGAACAGCUGAGCUUUUCUUGAGUUCAGCGUUCUCUUCACAUCUAUCUUUGGUUGGGUUGGUGGUUGGGCAGUGUCCUUGAUCAUCUUUGGGGCCAGGUGAAGAACUGAAAUUCCAAUGAACUCCUGCUAUGUAGGUGUUUUGCCAAUUACUAGAGGUGAUGACAAUUGCCUUUUCUGUGUGUCUGAGUUGAUGAAUUGCGGUGGCUGGGCUUUUUUGGAAAUUGGAUAUGUUCCCACUUCUUGGAUUUUGGUUCUUUUGAUGUCCUUACUCUGUGUAUUUAUAUGGAUCAAUCCGACAAUUGAUAUUUUGGCCAUGCUUUAAUGAUAGUGCGAGAAAUAGCUUGACUAUGAUGCAAACCUCUUCUGGUUGCAGAAACCCCCUGUUGUGGAGAUCCUUGAGGGUUUCACCUGGCCAGUUUGGGAUGAUGCCUGUAGUUUUCAGAAUUAUCUUGUUUAUGCUCAGUGAUUGAUCCGACCGAUCGGUCUUUGCGUUAUUGUUUUUACCAGCUUCUGGAUUCUUGUUAUUCAGUGAAUUGGCUUUGUGGCUUAUUUCCUCUUGGAUCAUAUCUCUUUCGUCUAAGAAUGGUCGUUAUGGGAAGUGUUUGGCUUAGCUCCUCCUCCGAUCCUUAAUUGCUCCAGAGACUGACUUUCCGUACAAUUGCUUUAUGAGCUACUUCUGGAUUUUGUUAUUUCGUGAAUUUGCGAUGGCUUCUUUCCCCUUGGAGUGAACUGCUUGUCUGAGGAUGUCAAGGAUGAUGAAUUCUAUGACAUUGGUCAGUUUGCUUCAUAAAACACGGAUGUUCGGGCUUUUUGGAGGACUGAUGAUCCUUUUGCUGUCUCCAGGAUUCUGCCAUGUUGUGGGCAUUGUUAGGGGUUAUGCUUCUCGGAUUGUUGAUUGAUCUUUUUAAGUUUAAUCGUAUUAUGAGCUGAUUCUGGUGUUCACUAUUCUGUGAAUUGGCAGUGGCUUCUUUCUUCUUGGAGCGAUCAUUUUGUCUGGGGAUGUUGUAGGGCAAUAAAAACAAUGCAACUGGUUAGUUGGUUACCUAGAAUAUGACAGUUGGGAUUUUUGGAGAACUAAUGAUCAAUCUUGCACCGUUUGUGGUUGAGCUGAUGAUGUAGAAGUCUCUGUCUUCACGACAAACGAUGGAGUGAAAUUUUGACAACCUUCUAGGCUUCUUUUACCGGUUGAUAGUUUUACUGGAUUUUGACAGCUAGUGAUCUAUUGUGUUUUGCGUAGGGCUGAGUUGAUAAUUGUUUGAAAUUGGAUGAUCUCUCGCUUCUCGGAUUUUAGGCAGUUAUUGGUUUGAAUGAAACUUGUCCGUUACUUCUAUAAUUUUCUAGUUAAUCCGAAGGAUCAGAUCUAGUUCUCUUCAUUUCGCAGAUCAGAGUUUGGUUGAGGCAAUAAUUUACGUAGCCAAGUUCGGUAUGGAGUGUUUGGGAUCAGUGAUAUUCUUUCGUGGUGCAUACGCAUGCAUUCCUAAUUUGUCUUUUACUUCUUUUAUCUUCUAGUUAAGGUGGAAUGAUCAGGUAUUUCAUUUCCUUCACAGGUCAGAGUUAGUUGAGGCAAUUUCAAUAUGGAGGGUCUGUGAUCAAUGAUGGUUCUUUGUUGCUGCAUAAGCAUCAAUUAAUAGGACAAGCUUUUCUUUCAGAGUUCCUUUUUUUAUUUUUAUUUUCUCCUGGAAAGGUCCACAGAAGUUCUAUCUUAUUUCUCUUCAUUCUUAUCUGUGUGCUACGAUCACUAAUUGGAUCUCUCUGGUAAAUCAUGGAGAUAGCAUAUGUUACAGUUAUACGAUAUGGUCUUUUUUCUAUCCUGGAACUGGCACUAGGCAUUACCUAGCUUGGUUUGCCUUCCUUCUUACACAACUUCUGUCUUUUCUUUUGGUCUAGAACAAGAGGUCAUUUUGUGUUCUUUCCAUAUGGAGGUUGUUUGAGUUGGUUGGACUCUGUCAAUGGCCAUAUAAAUGUCUGCAUUGUAGGUAUUAUUUGGUUAUUGGGACUAGAGGCUUACUGCUGACAGAGUUGCUUAUACUUCAGUGCGUACUGGUAGCAUCUUAUUUGGGAUGAUGUGCUUCAGAUAUCUAUUACGAUACGUGUUCUUAAUCUUUUUUAGUUUGUUUUUAUAUCUUAAUGGUUGAUGAGCCGAUUACUUUCUUGGUCUAAUUUCUGAAGUAUCUGGUUUGUUGCAGAAGCUUAAUUUCUUCUGUUCCAGUCGCCUCUUUGGGACUUUUCCAUGUUUAGGGACAUCAUUAGGGUCUACUCUUCUCCUUUGACCAUUUAUUAAUUUAUUGGUUGUUGUUCUAUUUUUUUAUUUUUUUUAGGAGCAGAUUCUGGAUCUGUUAUUUAGUGCAUUGGAAGUAACUUCUUCUCUGAUGUCAUGUAAGGAACAGUAAAUAUGAUAAGUUUGGUCAAUUGUUGCAUAGAAUGAAGUUUCUGAGCUUUUUUUUGGGACUAACGAUUGCUUUGUAGUGUAAAGUUGAGUUGAUGGACUAGGAGUACUGGGUGAUGAAAUGAAACUUUUAAUAAUUUCCUGCAUAGACACUUAUGUUUCUUCUUCAAAAUUCAUUCUUUCAUUAAUUAUCUUUGGGUAGUGGCAAGAAUUGAGAUGAUAAUCUUCUAGUUCUAAUUGCUUUAGGUUGAAGGUUUGCUGAACUUGAGAAGUGCUAAUCCUUUGCCUUUUUUGCAAGGCUGAGAGGAUGAAUUGUGGAGACCAGGUUUUGUUUGAAAUUUAGCUCUCAUUUAUUGGAUUCUUGACAGUAAAUGAUUAUAAUAGUAUUGACUAUAGUUUCUUUUUCUUUCUUUCUUUUUUUAUUAGAGCAAGAUGAUCACCGUUUAGUUCUCUUUCUAUAAUAGGUCAUAAAUAGGUUAAAGCAAAACUUUUUCCUUGAUUGAACUAUUCUGCAUGUUAUUUGUUACUCCUUUUCCUUUCAAUGUACUUUGUCGCACAUUCACUUGGUAAUAGAUUUCUUGCAUAUGCAUCUGUUUUGGCUUGGUGUGUAUGUCUGCUUGAAUUUUGUGUCAAUAUGUUAAAUUGGUUUUCUUAUGCUGAAUUGUUGUUUUGGCAGUACCUUUUGCCCUUUUUUCUAUGUUAUUUGGAACUUGCAGGAUAGGUUCUUUUCCAAAAAAAUAUUUGUUUUUCAUUGCAGUAACAUACUCUUGCCAAAACUUAACCAAUUGAUUUUCACUCAAAGUUUGAUUUGAGUUCUGUCUCAAUGAUUGACAGCUUCAUUUACACAUCUAAGGCCCUAAAUUUUCAUCCCUAGGCAUUUAAAACCUAGAAAAGAGAAAUGCUAGAUAUCCUAAUCAUUCACAAAUUGGUUGUACAAUAUCUGUAUACAAAAUAAACCAUUUCUCAUGAUGAAGGAGGGUCUUUUUGAAUUGCAGAAGCAACAAAUCAUGUGUAUACCAUGUUUUGUAUGUGGUUCUGUAUUGCUCUUUACAAACUUUGAUUUAGAAAUUGACUAGUCAUAGAGCAAGUGAGCAUUUAAGCAAGUGCACCGGCAAACCCGAGCCCCUGUGCUUGCCCUAUAUUUGUGCUUAUUGUUUUUGUUCUGGAUCUGCUCAGUUAUUAAUGCAGGUCAAACACAUCAGAGCCAAAUAUGGGAAUUACUUUGGCAUUAAUGUUGCUGGCUAUCCAGGUUCUUUAAUCUGCUCUACUCAAUUGUUACCUUAAAAGCCUGCAUAUUUCCUGUUGCAGGAUAGGUCUUAUCACCCUUUCCUGGUUCUUCUCAUCCCCUCUCCCCUUUUUUCUUCUCUCCCCAUGGCCUCUGCUACUUGGCCUACGAUUCCUAUGGUUAUUGGAAUUAUUUGGUUUAUGGCCUCAUCCUUGGUCAAUCUUUCCUUUAUUGUUUUGCCAGCUUAUUCUGUAUUUUUGUUAGUCGGUGAAUUGGCAGUGUGGCUUCUUUCCUCUUGGAUCAUAUCCCUAUCAUCUGAGGAUGUUGUUAUGGGAAGUGCUUGGUUUAACUCCUUCUCUGAUCCUUUAUCGAUCCAUUGACUGACUUUCCGUACAAUUGUUUACAAGCUGCUCCUGGAUUUUGUUAUUUGGUGAAUUUGCAGUGGCUUCUUUUCCCCUUGGAGUGAACUCUUUGUCUGAGGAUGACAAGGACAAUGAAUACAAUGACACCAGUCAGUUAAUUUCAUAAAUUAUGUGUUUGGGCUUUUUGAAGGACCAAUGAUCAUUUUGCUGUCUUUUUUCGGUUGAGAUGAUGAACUAAUCUCUGAUCACAUCUAAGACUGUGCAAUAGACUAAAAAUUACUGGUGUUGAUGGGACUUGGUUCUUCAGUUUUUAAUCUCUGGGAGAUGAUUAUCAUCUAGUCAUGAUUCUCUCACAGGUUGAAGUCUUGCCGGACUUGACAAGUGGUGAUCUGCUGCGAUUUGAUGGUUGCUUGAAAUUGGAUAAGCUCUAUGGUUCCACGAGGCGAUUAUCCAUUUGAAUGAAAUUUGUUCUUUCAGUCCCAUAAUUUUCCGAUUAAUGCGAAAACUUAUUCUCAUUCCUUUGGAGGUCAGUGUUUGGUUGAUGUAUGAUCUGUGAUUGUUCUUUCUUUGCAAGGUGUACGCACCGCAACAGAUCACCAUCCAAUUGAAUUCCGCUUCAUCUUAUUUUUAUUGAAGUUCAAAAUCAGGUGUCUCCUUCCUGGAAAUAAUAGUCCCCCCUCCCCCCUUCAUGUCCUCGUUCUUUAGUCUCAUUGUGAGUCUAUGAUUGUGCAUCCGUUCCUCUCUCCGUUGACAGCCUCUACCAAGUACUUUUCGGAGGAGACAUCAUUCCCGAAAUGCGCUCCUGAUCAUUUUUCUUUUCUUUUUUCUCUUCAUUGAUUGUUAAAUCGGUCUGAUUCAGUUUAUGCUAUGUUAUUUUCUGAAGGUCACACCUCGCCUCUCUGGGACUUUGCCAUGUCGUGGGCGUUGUUAGGGUUUGCGCUCCUAUGAUCGUUGAUUGAUUAAUCACUGAUUGAUCUUUCCAAGUUCAAUUAUAUUUGUCAUUUUGUCUGAGGAUGUUGUCUGAAGACAAGGAGUACAAUGCAAUUGGUCAGUUGGUUACAUGGGAUAUGACAUUUGGGCUUUUUGGGGGACUAAUGAUCUAUCUUGCACUGUUUGGUUGAUCUAGAAGCCUUUGUCUUCAGGACAAAUGACGGACUGACAUUAUGACAAUCUUCUAGACUUCUUUUACAGCUUGAAAGUUUUACUGGAUUGGACAGCUAGUGAUCUGUUGUGUUUUCUGUGGGGCUGAGUUGAUAAUUCUUUGAAAUUGGAUGAGUUCCUGCUCCUUGGACUUUAGGCAGUUAUUGGUUUGAAUGAAAUUUGUCCUUUACUUCUGUUAUUUGUAGUUAAUUGGAAUGGUCAGAUCUAAUUCUCUCUUCUACACAAAUCAAAAUUUUCAUCGAGGCAAUACUUUACCUGGAGUUCGAUAUGCAUUGUCUACUAACAGUGAUGUUCUUUCUUGCUGCAUAAGCAUCAAUUUCUAAUUUGUCUUCCACUUCUCAUAUAUGUAUUUCUUUUUUUGGCCAGAAAUGAGAUACUUAAAUUUACCAUAGUGAAAGCAUACUUCUCAGAAACAAUAAAAUUGUGUACACACACAUUGAUGGGUAUGAGUAUAUUGUUUGAGAAAUUUAAUCAAGAAUAUCAUAUAUUUCACUAUGCGCAUAAUUAUAGUCAAUGACUCAAAAUUGUAUUUUUUCAAAGUUGAAAAACAUCAAAGAAUGCUCUUAAAGCAUUUAUCAAAUAAUAAAUGGAAGAGGGAGUGGCUUCUUUCCCCUCAGAGUGAAACUGUGUGUCUGAGGAUGUCAAGGACGAUCAAUACAAUGACAUUGGUCAGUUUGUUUCAUGAAACGCGGAUGUUUGGAUUUUUGGGAGGACUGAUGAUCUGUUGUCGUUUUUUUGGUAGUCUUUAAUCACAUCUUAGACCAGGCAACAGGCUGAAAUUUACUGGUCUUGAUUGGAAUUUAUUCUUCGUUUUUUUUUUUCAAAAUAUGUCUUUGGGAGUUGAUUAUCGUCUAGUCCUGAUUCUUUCACAAGUUGGAGUCUUGCCAGACUUGCAAGUGGUCAUCUGCCACGAGGCAGUUAUUGGUUCAAAUGGAAUUUGUUCUCCAGUCCCAUAAUUUUCUGAUUAAUGCGAAAACUGAUUCUCAUUACUUUGGAGAUCAUUGUUUGGUCAAUGUAUGAUCUGUGGCGGUUCUUUCUUUGCAAGGUGUGCGCGCCCCAACAGAUCAAUAUCCAAUCCAGACCCACAUCUUAUUUUUAUUGAAGUUUGAAGGCCGGUGUCUCCUUCCUAGAAAUAGUCCCUCCCUCAUGUUCUCAUCCUUCAGUCUCAUCUUGCGUCUAUGAUUCUGCAUGAAUUCCUCUCACUUGUCAGCCUCUGGAAGUACUCUUCAGAGGAGACAUCAUUCCCAACACAGUCUCUUGAUCCUCUUCUUUCUUCUCGUCUCUUCAAUGAUUGUUAAAUCAGUCUGAUUCUGUUUAUGCUAUGUUAUUUUCCGAAGGUCACACCUCACCUCUCCAGGACUCUGCCAUGUUGUUGGCAUCAUUAGGUUUUCCACUCUUCUGAUCAUUUAUUGAUUCAUCAUCGAUUUAUAUUUCCAAGUUCAAUUGUAUUUUGAGCUGAUUCUAGCAUUCAGUGAACUGGCAGUGGCUUCUUUCUUCUUGGAGCAAUCAUUUUGGCUGAGGAUGUUUUCUAACGACAAUGAAUACAAUGCAACUGAUCAGUUGGUUACAUGGAAUAUGACAUUUGGGCUUUUUGGAGGACUAAUAAUCUAUCUUGCACUAUUUGGUUGAGUUGAUGAUCUAGGAGCCUUUGUCUUCAGGACAAAUGAUGGACUGAAAUUUUCCCAUCCUUCUCGGCUUUUAUUACAGCUUGAUAGUUUUACUGGAUUUGACAGCGGGUGAUCUGUUGCGUUUUCUGUGGGGCUGAGUGGAUAAUUGUUAGAAAUUGGAUGAGCUCCUGCUUCUCGGAUUUUGGGCGGUUAUUGGUUUGAAUGGAACUUAUCCUUUACUUCUGUUAUUUCUUAGUCUGAAAGAUCAGAUCUAGUUCUCUUCCCUUUGCAGAUCAGAGUUUGGUCGAGGCAAUACUUUAUGUAGCCAAGUUCGAUAUGGAGUUUUUAGGAGCAGUGAUGUUCUUUCUUGCUACAUGAGCAUCAAUUUCUAAUUUGUCUUCUACUUCUGUUAUCAUCUAGUUAAGGUGGAACGAUCAUAUGUUCUCUUUCCUUCGCAGGUCACAGUUUGAUUGAGGUAAUACUUUACCUCGUAAAUUUUGAGAUGGAGUGUGUGAUCAGUGAUGAUUCUUUUUUGUUGCAUAAGCAUCAAUUCAUAGGACAAGCUUCUUUCAGAGUACUUUCUUGUCUGGAAAGGUACACCCAAGUUCUAGCUCGUUUCUAUUCAUUUGUAUCUGUAUGCUACGGUGACCAAUUGGAUCUAUUGGUAAAUCAUGGAGAUAUCAUGUAAGAAUUAUGCGUCAUGCUCUUUUUCCCUAUCAUGGAACUGUAUGCUUCAGGCAUUACUAAGUUUGAUUUGCCUUUUUAUGCUAGUUCUGUGUUCUCUUUUGGUACAUAACAAGAGGUCAUUUUGUGUUCUUUCUGUGCCAGAGGUUCUUUGAGUUGUUGGACUCAGUCAAUAACCACAUAAAUGUCUAAAUCGUAGGUUUUCAUUGGUUAUUGGGACUUCAAAGGUUUAUCACUGACAGAAUCCAUUUUACUUUAGGGCAUACUGGUAGUGUCUUAUAUCUAUCACAAUUUGCAUUCUUAAUCUCUCUUAUCUUGUUUCUAUUUGUUAAUGGAUGAUGAUAGCUGAUACCAGUUGUCCUUUGGCAUAUUGGAGCCUACUUUCUCUUCAAGAUUGGAUUAAAAAAUUUUGAUUUCUUUGUCUUACCUUUUACUUUGAUGGAACUAUCCUGCUGUUAUUUAUAAUGGACUUUUUUGGUUUCAACAUACCUGGUCGUACAUUCAUUUGGAAAUACGUCUCUUGCAUAUGCAGUUUUUCUGACUUGGUGUGUAUGUCUCCUUGAAUAUUGUCUCUAUAGAUAUUAAUUUGGUGUAUUUGAAGAAUAUUUUGUCAGGUUUCCUGUGUUAAUAUAUGAUGACAUUGAUGUUGUCUGGAUGGUAAUUUCCUAUGCUGAGAAGUUAUUUUUGUGAGACCUAUUGCCUCCUUUUCCUCUAUUUCAUUUGGAACUUGCAGGAUAUGUUCUUUUCCAGAAAAAUAUUUGUUUUUCACACUGUUUUUUGUGGUAACUUUUUGCUUUUGCCAAAACGUCACCUAAAGUAUAGUAUGUAAUGUUUCACUUGUAUGGCAAUGUUGUUGGAUGGUUGAUCAAUAGAUUGAUCUUUUUUAUUUAAUUGUUUAUCAAGAUGAUUAUGUAUUUCGGUGGAUUGGCGGUUGCAUCUUUCCUCUUGGAGCGAUCUCUUCAUCUGAGCAUGUUGUCUAAUGAUGAUAGAUACAUAGAAGCUGGUCAGUUUACAUAGAAUAAGGUACUUGGGCUUCUUGGAGGAGUUCUGCAGUCUUUGUUUGCUUGAUUUCCGAAGUAGUAGUCUCUAAUCACAUCUUCAAGACAGGUGAUGGACAAUUUUGAAGAUUUUUUAGGCAUUUUGUAGUUUUGAUUUAGGUUUGUUUUCAGUUGAUUAUCUUUAGGGAGCAGUGAGCUAAUUGUGAGCUAAUUAUUAUCAAGCUCUAAUUCCUCUACAGGUUGAAGUUUUGCCAGGUUUGAGAAGUGGUAUUCUAUUGCUUUCUUCUGUAGGGCUUCAUUUGAUGAUCGUUUGAAAUUGGACAAACAGCCACUUUGUGGAUUCAAGGCAGUUAUCGGUUUCAAUGGAGUUUGUUUUUCGCUUCUGCUUUUUUCCAUUUAUGGUGAGGUGAUUAGGGCCUAGUUCACUUUCCUCCGAUGCAAGUUUCUUCUGGUUCAAUGUGGACUGUCUUCAAUAUGUGAUGGUUCAUUCUAGAUUUCUACAAGUUCUUCUUUCUUUGAGCUUCCAUUGGCUUCUUUUUUUUUUUUUUUUUUCGGAAGAUGAAUAAUCAUUACUAUCUUUCAAUGUAGGGAUUGUUUAUGAGUACGGAAAGCUUGAGAUCCACUAAGUUCUGGCUUGUUUCUCCUUGUUCUUGUAAUGCACGCUGCAAUUGCUAAUUCUAUUGCUGGUAAAUUAUGGAGAUAUUGCAAGUGCAAUUUAUUUGUUUGGCCUUCUUUCUUUCUUUUUUUCCGAAUACUAGCUUCACACAACUUAGUUAGCUUAGGCAUUCAGUCAGUACAAUUGAUGUGUGUCUCUUGGAACAGAACCUUCAGCGGAAAUUUUUCAUUUACCAGGUGA